AUUGAACGCUGGCGGCAGGCCUAACACAUGCAAGUCGAGCGGAUGAAGGGAGCUUGCUCCUGGAUUCAGCGGCGGACGGGUGAGUAAUGCCUAGGAAUCUGCCUGGUAGUGGGGGAUAACGUCCGGAAACGGGCGCUAAUACCGCAUACGUCCUGAGGGAGAAAGUGGGGGAUCUUCGGACCUCACGCUAUCAGAUGAGCCUAGGUCGGAUUCGCUAGUUGGUGGGGUAACGGCCUACCAAGGCGACGAUCCGUAACUGGUCUGAGAGGAUGAUCAGUCACACUGGAACUGAGACACGGUCCAGACUCCUACGGGAGGCAGCAGUGGGGAAUAUUGGACAAUGGGCGAAAGCCUGAUCCAGCCAUGCCGCGUGUGUGAAGAAGGUCUUCGGAUUGUAAAGCACUUUAAGUUGGGAGGAAGGGCAGUAAGUUAAUACCUUGCUGUUUUGACGGUACCAACAGAAUAAGCACCGGCUAACUUCGUG
rnacentral:rRNA from 1 species